rnacentral:rRNA from 1 species
CAGUAGCCGCGGUAAUACAGAGGGUGCGAGCGUUAAUCGGAUUUACUGGGCGUAAAGCGUGCGUAGGCGGCUUUUUAAGUCGGAUGUGAAAUCCCUGAGCUUAACUUAGGAAUUGCAUUCGAUACUGGGAAGCUAGAGUAUGGGAGAGGAUGGUAGAAUUCCAGGUGUAGCGGUGAAAUGCGUAGAGAUCUGGAGGAAUACCGAUGGCGAAGGCAGCCAUCUGGCCUAAUACUGACGCUGAGGUACGAAAGCAUGGGGAGCAAACAGGAUUAGAGACCCCCGUAGUCCAUGUCUCUUAUAC